UUUCGUUUUAUAUUUUUUACCAACAAAUUUUAUUAAGCACACCAAUGCGAGGCUGGCAACAAAACAACAGAGACAAAGACCAAACCGGAACCAACAAUUACACAAAACAAUUCUUAGGAGAAAACCUUCAGUUUUGCCAACAUAAAGUACCAUGAUGCUUCGAUCUGUUCUCGAUCCAUGAAAACAGCUGCGCCGUAACAUUAUCCAUAGUAAUCUCGAAAGAAAGACCAUGCCUGUUAAAGAUUAGCUCAUUGCUAGCCUUCCAAAUAAACCACAAGAUUGUAUACGUCACAAACCCGAAAACUCUUUGAAACUAAAGUGGUAAAAAAUCCCAAAUACGAGGGGCUAAAACCACAAGUCUUAGUUACGUAUGAGAAACAAAAGGCGCUAGACAUCUUCUCAACAAUUCACAUCUCCUUCCUUCCUCACAACGAUGUCGAAAGACUUCAACGUCCCGCCGGUCAUCUUCCCCACCGGCGGCAAUCCCAACACCGCCCCACAACGCCGCCUACCCACCGCCCCAUUCCAACCACCCAGAUCCUCAAACCCUAGCAUCCCCUUCAUGUCCUUCGACAUCGCCUCCACCCCUCAAUUCACCAACAUCUCCGGCGGCACCGGCUCAACAAACUUCGACGACGAACCCCCUCUCCUCGAAGAACUCGGCAUAAACACGAAACAAAUCUGGCAUAAAACCCUCUCAAUUCUAAACCCGUUUCGAGUGAAACCAGAUCAUCACGAACAGGCUGAUUUAUCAGGUCCAUUUUUGUUUCUUAUGGCGUUUGGAUUGUUUCAGUUGGUUGCUGGGAAGUUGCAUUUUGGGAUUAUUUUGGGGUGGGUGACUGUGGCGUCUUUGUUUUUGUAUGUGGUGUUUAAUAUGUUGGCUGGGAGGAAUGGGAAUCUGGAUUUGUACAGGUGUUUGAGUUUGAUUGGGUAUUGUAUGUUGCCGAUUGUGAUGUUGUCUGCGUUUGCUUUGUUUGUUCCUCCUCAAGGUGGGAUUGUGUUGAUGGGGGUUUUUGUCAUGUGGUCCACUCGGGUUUGUACCGGGUUGCUGGUAGAGUUGGUGUCGUAUGGGGAUGAGCAUCGCGGGCUUGUUGCGGAACUCCAGUACGGUUGUGUUGUAAAUGGAUGGAGGCGUGGCUAUCGUCUUCAAAGCGUCAAAUUGUGUAGAGGGCUUUGGGUGGGCUUGUGCCAGUGAUAGUGGUUUGAUUAUAAGUUUUAGAUGAGUAUGAGACGACGAGAUCUUGUUGGAAAAUAGUAAGGCACAGAUUGCCUGAAACAUAUGCUGAUUUGAGAAGAGGAGAACCGAACUGAGAGGAUAUGCUUUGUAGCUUUUUCAGCAUUGUCGGGUAUGGAUGUUAAAAUGAAGUGAAAUUGUUUGACGCCCGAUGAUCACUUGAAAAGAACUAGGGUUUUGGGUGAGAAGUCAGAUCUCAAUUUGAUGGAAGUCUGUAACUAGGGUUCAUGAAGAAUGAAAUUGGGGAAGAUGAUAACUUUGGGUAUUAAAAGAGGCAUUCAAUGACAGAUCUAUCCUCACAUGACCUGUACAUGACCACAUUUAACUGAAAAAUCAAACUGGGUUAUGCCAAAAGGACAAAACGUGAUAGAUUUUAAAAGAUAAAGUGCAAAAAUCAUCAAUUUUAAACAUAAA